GAGGUGGGGUUGGAGUUGGAGCAGGAAGCUGAGGGUCUCGUCAUGCCCGUCCUUCCUUCUGCGUGGCUGCCCUCUGGGAAAGGAGGCCCUGGAAUGCCUGCAGCUUCACAGCAGGAAGAGAGCACUGCCCACAUUGCCCACAGGUUCCUGCUCAAGUCCAGAGUGAGCCUGCAGGACAGCCGGAAAGCCCACCCAAGGUGCCUCAGCCUGGAGCUCGCCCAGGACGCAGAGCAUGUGCAGGUGCAGAUGGCAGACGGACGCACUGGGGCGCGGUGUGAAUAACACCCUGCUUGAGAAGCUCAGGACUGG
rnacentral:lncRNA from 1 species